AGUUUGAUCCUGGCUCAGGAUGAACGCUGGCGGCGUGCCUAACACAUGCAAGUCGAACGAAGCGCUAUAGUUGGAUUCUUCGGAAAAGAGUAUAGUGACUGAGUGGCGGACGGGUGAGUAACGCGUGGGCAACCUGCCCCAUACAGGGGGAUAACAGUUAGAAAUGACUGCUAAUACCGCAUAAGCGCACGGCAACGCAUGUUGCUGUGUGAAAAACUCCGGUGGUAUGGGAUGGACCCGCGUCUGAUUAGCCAGUUGGCAGGGUAACGGCCUACCAAAGCGACGAUCAGUAGCCGGCCUGAGAGGGUGGACGGCCACAUUGGGACUGAGGCACGGCCCAAACUCCUACGGGAGGCAGCAGUGGGGAAUAUUGCACAAUGGGGGGAACCCUGAUGCAGCGACGCCGCGUGAGCGAAGAAGUAUUUCGGUAUGUAAAGCUCUAUCAGCAGGGAAGAAAAUGACGGUACCUGACUAAGAAGCACCGGCUAAAUACGUG
rnacentral:rRNA from 1 species